AAUAGAUACCCGGGUAGUCCACGCCGUAAACGAUGAAUACUAGGUGUAGGGGUUGUCAUGACCUCUGUGCCGCCGCUAACGCAUUAAGUAUUCCGCCUGGGGAGUACGGUCGCAAGAUUAAAACUCAAAGGAAUUGACGGGGGCCCGCACAAGCAGCGGAGCAUGUGGUUUAAUUCGAAGCAACGCGAAGAACCUUACCUAGACUUGACAUCUCCUGAAUUACCCUUAAUCGGGGAAGCCCUUCGGGGCAGGAAGACAGGUGGUGCAUGGUUGUCGUCAGCUCGUGUCGUGAGAUGUUGGGUUAAGUCCCGCAACGAGCGCAACCCUUAUUGUUAGUUGCUACCAUUUAGUUGAGCACUCUAGCGAGACUGCCCGGGUUAACCGGGAGGAAGGUGGGGAUGACGUCAAAUCAUCAUGCCCCUUAUGUCUAGGGCUACACACGUGCUACAAUGGCUGGUACAGAGAGAUGCUAAACCGCGAGGUGGAGCCAAACUUCAAAACCAGUCUCAGUUCGGAUUGUAGGCUGAAACUCGCCUACA
rnacentral:rRNA from 1 species